CAGCAGCCGCGGGAAAACGGAGGGUGCAAGCGUUAAUCGGAAUUACUGGGCGUAAAGCGUGCGUAGGCGGUUCGUUAAGUCUGUUGUGAAAGCCCCGGGCUCAACCUGGGAAUGGCAAUGGAUACUGGCGAGCUAGAGUGUGUCAGAGGAUGGUGGAAUUCCCGGUGUAGCGGUGAAAUGCGUAGAGAUCGGGAGGAACAUCAGUGGCGAAGGCGGCCAUCUGGGACAACACUGACGCUGAGGCACGAAAGCGUGGGGAGUAAACAGGAUUAGAUACCCCCGUAGUCCCUGUCUCUUAUAC
rnacentral:rRNA from 1 species